rnacentral:rRNA from 1 species
ACGCUGGCGGCGUGCCUAAUACAUGCAAGUCGAGCGGACGAAAAUUCGGUGCUUGCACCGAAUUUCGUUAGCGGCGGACGGGUGAGUAACACGUGGGUAACCUACCUUAUAGAUUGGGAUAACUCCGGGAAACCGGGGCUAAUACCAAAUAAUACUUUUUAACACAUGUUUGAAAGUUGAAAGACGGUUUUGCUGUCACUAUAAGAUGGACCCGCGGCGCAUUAGCUAGUUGGUGAGGUAACGGCUCACCAAGGCAACGAUGCGUAGCCGACCUGAGAGGGUGAUCGGCCACACUGGGACUGAGACACGGCCCAGACUCCUACGGGAGGCAGCAGUAGGGAAUCUUCCACAAUGGACGAAAGUCUGAUGGAGCAACGCCGCGUGAAGUGAAGAAGGAUUUCGGUUCGUAAAACUCUGUUGCAAGGGAAGAACAAGUAGCGUAGUAACUGGCGCUACCUUGACGGUACCUUGUUAGAAAGCCACGGCUAGCUACGUGCCAGCCGCAGC